UAGUACUGACAACACCUUUCAAGGGUUUCAAAGAGAGAGAACUCUAAGUGGAACUUAUCAGAAAUCUUCACUCAUCGGAUCUCUCCAAUUUUCCAUUUGUAUGUGGAUUUUAAGUUUUGUGUAGUACUUCUCUGCUCCGUGAAAAUUUUCAUCUAGGACAAAAAUAGUGACAAAGAGGGAAGAACUUCGAUGCCACCUAUGUAUUUGACGAAAUUCCGCAGUGGAAGAUCGUCAUGGUCAGCGAAUUUGGAUGAACUCCGUAAUGCAAAUUUUGACAUAAGCUGUUCACGAGAGUUGCAGUUUAUGACAUAACGAUUUCGUCCUUAAAAAGUUCUUGCUCUUGCAUGGAUGGGAUUCCUCUCUAAAGUGGUGAAUUUUAAAAAGCUUGAGGUUCACUGACUGGUGCAAUUAAGGUUUCACCUUUUUGGAACUGAACGGUUUGCUUUUAAUUGGUACUCAUCGCCAAUUGCUGAAGGUUACUGAGUAAUUAACUAAUUAGUUAGAGUCUAUGUUCAGUUACUUUGUAUUUUGUUCUUGAAAUUGAUAGACAAAUUCCAAGUUUCUUCCUUUAUAUUUAAUAAUUUGCACUUCAACUGUAUUAUUUCAAUUUGUAAUUCUUCGCGCACCUUUGUUCCAUGCCUUAAGUCUUAUGACAAUUUGCCCUCUCGAUAGAGGUUGUGAUUAAACUAUCAAAAUCGAAUGCGUCGAAGGAUCCUUUUCUUCUUCUAACUCUAGCUGAUCCAUUGAAAUAACUCAAACUCUUUAAGCUCAUUUAUAUGUUGUAAAUAUUUUUCUUUGCAGUAAAAAGAUUAUGUAAUUGUUAGUUAUUUCAACUAUUACUUGCAAUUAGUUGCUUAAAUAAAAAAGUUAAGAUACAAUUUGACAUCCUAAAGUGAUUGUGAAGCUUCUAAUUGCUUCCUUUGUUUUAUUAAUGCUCAUACACAGAGAUUAACUCGGCAACCAUGUUAUUUCCAUAAUUUCUUGUUGUAGAUAAAGUCGGAAUAAACAUCAACUCGCUCCUCUCUUGAAAGCAUCUGAAGCUGGAAUUGUAGUCUUCAUUCUAUUGUUGGUCUGGUUCACGUGUCGCCAGCUGGUUCUAUUUAUACAACGGAGAAAGGUGAUAACAGAAUGAGGUUGGAUUAUUUGGAUAUAUCAACCUAGAAAAGGAAGAAACAGAAAAGAAAAACAUUGACAGUGUGGAGUUGAACAUGUGGGAAUAUGUAAACAGACAAAUUCAGUGAGCUCUUACGCGCAAGAAGUAUGGAAAGAGUACCAAGGCCAGAAGAAACCUUGCGGACUGUGCUAUUGUGGUUGAAGAGCUAUGGACUUGGAUUUCACAGCUCUCGUAAGGAGUUUUGUGUCAUUCUUCAAGGUGGAGAAACCAUAAACUGCUCUCUCACAGUGGGCUAGAGCGCGCAGGAGUCGCCAAGGUUUUAAAGGGACUCUCAAAGGAUGAGAUACCUCAAAAACUUGCUCUAUUGCAUUGGCUAUAAGCUGUUGGAUGUUGGUGAUGGAAAGAAAUCCAUCUUGAAGUGCAACAGUAUGCCAAUGUAUUGGACGACUGCUGAGGAUAAGUUGUUUGAUGUAGUUCUCAUAUGUGAUAUGCCAGUGACAAUUUGUAUCAAGUGCACGUGAUGGCGUUUUAACUUGGAAAUAUGACUUAUGAGGUAGUUCUUGAGCAAGGAACACUCAAAUAAGAAAUACUAUAUCAAAUAUAGGAGAACUGUCAUAACAACUAGUCCAUCUUAUUAGUUGAAAUCCACCUCUUUUACUAUUGUGACUGAUUAUAAUGGAAGAAAACUGUCAUUUGUGUAUUGUCGUUGCGCACCCGUGGAUGUAAAAAGUGUAUCAUUUGGUGAUCAUA